GGUAAAGAUGGCUAUAAAAUGAGCCAAACGCAUAAAAAAAGGGAAAAAAUAUCGGCGAUUGACAAAAAAAUAACUAAACACUACACUGCUGUAUUGUGUUCUUCAUUAUAGCAUAUACUGUACAUCGUAGUGAUCAUACGGUUCAUACCAUACGUGUGCUUUUACUAAUUUAAUGAUGGAAAUGUGUGCACAUCUAAAAGUAAAAAGGUUCAACGAAUAGAACACCACAAUUCCACAACAACAAAAAAUUGAGGCCAUGCCCAAAAACAUGUGACCACACCCACAAAAAUUUGUGGCCAUGCCCACAAAAUUAUUUUGGACGGCCACUUUUGAAAUCCUGGCGAACACCCUGAUCGUUAGCACUAUCUAUUGUACACUGGCACCGCAGACAGUUCAAGAUUAAUCCUUGACUUGACUGUUGUGUAUUUGUGUAAUUGUUCUUUUACAAUAUGAUAAUCAUAAAUCAUUCAGAUUAAUCUUCACUAUUUUUUUCAGUUAGAC